UACAGAGGAGCCAAGCGUUGUCCGGAUUGACUGGGCGUAAAGCGCACGUAGGCGGCUUUCUAAGUCAGGGGUGAAAUCCUGGAGCUCAACUCCAGAACUGCCUUUGAUACUGGGAGAGCUUGAGUCCGGAAGAGGUGAGUGGAACUCCGAGUGUAGAGGUGAAAUUCGUAGAUAUUCGGAAGAACACCAGUGGCGAAGGCGGCUCACUGGUCCGGUACUGACGCUGAUGUGCGAAAGCGUGGGGAGCAAACAGG
rnacentral:rRNA from 1 species